rnacentral:sRNA from 1 species
GCCGGGGAUCCCUGAACACAGACAGCGCGGGACCGAGAAGGAAAGCUUCUUUCUGGGCAGCCAGAGCCGCAAAGGUGGAGCCGCGUUGGCGCCCUCUGCGGGACCAGCGCCUCGGAUGCGGGCGGAGCGCGGGGGGCCGCGGCUGCGGGAGCGCGAAGCGGGGGGCCAGGGGCGCCUCAUGUGAGAGCCGCGGGACCUGCAGCCGCCGCCGUCCCCGGAGCACGGGGUGGUGUGUGGGGGAAGCCGCCCCCGGCAGCAGUCUCACUUUAUCUCUGCACUGACGGUUGUGUUCGUAAACUCCAAAUCCCUGUCUUCGCUUAAGAUAGAUG